UUCUGUACCAGAGAGAUGAUCACCCAAACCCAAAAAAGUUAAUUAAUUUUGGACUUUCACUUUGAUGAAUCUUUCUUUCCAUCAUUUUAAAAGUUCUUCGAAUAAAAUUACGAAGCCGUCGACUCUCUCAAAAGAAAAGAUUGCUCUCCAAAUAGAUUUUGAUGGGAUCCAUCGAUGAAGGUUUUCAAUCUCAGGCUGAAAGCAUCUUUGUAUCCUUAGCUUUUUCUCGAUUUUCUUCUUCUGCGCCGUCGUUACUGGCAAAAGCAAUCAAGUUCGGUUGGUCCUUCUCCGACACAUGUGUAUAAGCGGGAGUGGAAGCAAGGGAAGACACGCCUUGUGGAAGCCGUGGUGUGGAGAUAGCGAAGUGGAUAUACGGAGACAGUGGAUAUAAAGGUGAUGGUUACUCGAGAUGAAGAGGUGAAAGACGUGAGGGUGGGAGAUAUGGAGGUGAAAGCCAUGAUAGAAGUGGUGGUGGAUACCGGAGUAGAGGUUGUGGUGGUCAUGGAUACGGAAACGGUGGAUAUGGAGACUAAGGUGGUGGAUACCGGAGUGGAGGUUAUAGUGGUCAUGGAUACGGAAGUGGUGGAUACGGAGGCUGAGGUGGUGGUGUGAAGGAUACGGAGGCUGAGAUGGUGGUGGACACUGGAGUGGAGGUUUUAGUGGUUAUGGAUAUGGAUGUGGUGGAUACGGAAGUGACGGCUUUGAUGGUGGUGAAUACCUGGGUGAAGGUUGUCCAUAAACACUUAUCCACCAUGUACAUGAACCUAUACACCAAGAACCUAUCCACAAGAGAUACAUCCACUCAUUCUCUUUUACCAAACACUAUAGAUCUAGAUACUCAUCUUUAAUCAUUUUUAGAGCCACAUUCCAAAUUUGUAACAACUUCUGGCGAAAGACAUACAAGGUUCGGUUAGAAAUCCUACUUAUUAUCCAUGCUUUCAUAUCCAUCAGUAUUUUAUCAACGAAUUUUUUGUCCAUAAAUUUG